rnacentral:rRNA from 1 species
AGAGUUUGAUCAUGGCUCAGGAUUAACGCUGGCGGUGUGUAUAAUACAUGCAAGUCGAGCGCCCUGGACUUUGUUUUCAACUAUGUUGAAGGCAGGGUCCAGGGAGCGGCGGACGGGUGAGUAACACGUUAGAACUUUCUCCAGAAUCAGGGAUAAGCCCUAGAAAUAGGGUCUAAUACCGGAUGGUCCCGUAAGGGUAAAGCAGCAAUGCGUUCUGGAAGGGUCUUGCGGCCUAUCAGCUUGUUGGUAAGGUAACGGCUUACCAAGGCUAUGACGGGUAGCUGGUCUGAGAGGAUGAUCAGCCACAAUGGGACUGAGACACGGCCCAUACUCCUACGGGAGGCAGCAGUAAGGAAUCUUUCGCAAUGGGGGCAACCCUGACGAAGCAACACCGCGUGAAGGAUGAAGGCGUUUUCGUCGUAAACUUCUUUUCUGAGGGAAUAAUUCUGAAGGUACCUCAGGAAUAAGCAUCGGCUAACUACGUGCCAGCAGCCGCGGUAAGACGUAGGAUGCAAGCGUUAUCCGGAAUCAUUGGGCGUAAAGAGUUCGUAGGUGGUUUGUUAAGUUGGAUGUUAAAACUUUGAGCUCAACUCAAAGUCUGUGUCCAAAACUGGCUUACUAGAGACAGGUAGAGGUAGGUAGAAUUCUGUAUGUAGGGGUAAUAUCCGUAGAUAUACAGAGGAAUACCAAAAGCGAAGGCAGCCUACUGGACCUGUUCUGACACUCAAGAACGAAAGCGUGGGGAGCAAACGGGAUUAGAUACCCUAGUAGUCC